UUUCCUCGUCGAAGCGAUAAAACGCUCGUCUCUCUCACUGGCGAGACGCUCGAUUUGUCGAGAUAGAAGCGCAUCGAAGCAGGAUUGAUUGCGACUCGUUUCAGCUCCUUGUACGGCUGCAGCGCGAUCUUCGCUGUGUCUUGCGCGGCGAGCUUUUUUUCCCAGUCCUGUACUCCUUUUAUCCUGCACUUAUGCACCGCGUGUACACGUGUACCGCUGCCACGUCGUUUCUCAUAUCUCGACGAGCCUCGAGGAGAGCUUACUGCUUCGUAUAGCGAGCUUGUAUUCUGGAGCUGUUAGCUGAGCUGGAUGUUGGACAAGCGUUGGAUAGCGAGAUAAUCAAAGGCACUUUGUCUGUAGAAAAGCGAAUCUCAGUCGAGCAUGUGGAGGGACCCAAAAAGCUCAACGAGAGUCGCCCGGGGACUCCGAAAAGAAAGGGAAAGUAUAUAGAGGGGACGACCGCUCGUAUACAUCAUAUAUUAGAUAAUGGCCUGAAUUUUGAACAUGACUGUUUUCCUUUGGAUUUGAGAAUCAACUGUUCAAAUGUAAGGGUAUAGCAGCUAAGCGUCGCAUCUUGAGUCAGAGAAUCCAUGGAGAUAGCGCCUAAUUUCCACUGCUAGAUGGCGACACUGUUCCGGCUUUAACACUGCUUUAUGAAUUUCCAUUUGUUUCUUAAUUCAUCGCGUCUUUUAUCUCCGUUUUGACUAGAAUCUGCAUCGGCGAAUCAACCAAAUGGAGCUUCGAAGUUACUCGUGUCAAACAAAGAAAAUUCGCCUGGUUAUAGAAUUGGUUCGGGCUCAUUUCCCCCACUACAUUUCAACCGCGCGGAAUAAUAAUCGCUCCCCACUCCCGGUCUCCCUCGACAUUUAGCAAUGUUUGUCUAAACUGGUGCAGCAUUAGCGCCGAUUACCGUGCAAAUUUACAAAACGUUCAAACGAAUUUCAAAACGCGCUAGAGCUCCAUUCCCUCCUUAACACACACACACAAGUAUCCCAGGCGCAGUCUCUCGGCAAGACUGUAUACCAGCAGCGGCAGCAGCAAUACCAAAGUCACUUUUUUAAAGGCCGGCCGAGUAAACUUGUUUUCUUUGCAAUCAAGAGCCGUUUCAUGCAGCCCGCGCUCUCUCGCGACGGCGAAGGUUCGACUCUCCCGUGUACUUUCUCGCGCGAAGGUGUAGGAGUGCCGUUGACGAAAGCUGCUGCCGCCGCCGGCUCUUACAUAAUUUCAUUCCGAAUGGCUCAUUUUCGUCUCUUUUCGACAUCGAGCCUCGAGAGCACAUGCGCUUAUGCGCUCGCGCGCGCCCGCUCGUGUAUACAUAAUUCCGAAUGUAAACAUGAACUUUUCGGGCUAUAGCACGCGCGCUCUCGCGUCAGGCGAGAUAUUUUAAGUGAUGCAUCUCACGUAAAUUGUCAAUCACGUGCGCCCGGCUCUCUGCGUGUGCGCAUGCAUCGGAACGGGCUGCAUAACGUAUGUGCUCGUUGCCGUUGUUUUCUUUUCAAGCCUCGUCGUUUUUCAAAGUUCUCCAAUGCUUGAAAGCUCUCUCGAGCGCGUGCGCGCGUAUGAGCCGCUCGGCUAUAGAAUAAUGAUGGCUGGGUCGUGUAACGUGCUUUCUAGAAUGCAUAUUAUUUAUUGAUUCAUUGCACCGCUGAGUGCGGCUAUUAGAAGGCAUUAUUCAUCGUCGGCGGAUUUUUACUUUCGUUGAAAAAUAAACGAAUUAUCCCGCAUCCCGAGAGCUAUAAACGAAUCAAUAAUCCUGACGAAGAAAGUCAUCGGUGUAACGUCUCAACUCUCCGCACCUACGGUCGUAAAAAUCAUGAAAAAAUAUAAGGUCUCCUUAUACCUCUAGCACAAUUCUUUUUCAUCCUCUGUCGUGCGUCUUCCGCAGCUGAUACAGUCAAACACUCGAGAGAAAGAGACCACAACCGCUCCCGACUGAAUGGAGCUCGGCCAUUUUGCCAGUGUUUGAAAAAAAAGGAAGAGAGAACGUGAUAAAGUCCAUACAGGUAGGUACACAAGGUGUAAGUAACGGGGACGCGAUACCUCGAAAAAUGCAGUGUCACCGUGCUUAUGUGUACGACGGCGACGACUGUCGCAAAGUGAGAGUGAGAGAGAGAGAGAGAGAGAGAGAGAGAGAGAAGGAGAGAGAGAGAGAGAAGGAGAGAGAGAGAGAGAGAGAAGGAGAGAGAGAGAGAGAGAGAGAGAGUUAACGAAACGUGGAGUGUCUUGGGAAGGCGGCUCAAGGCUCGGCUAGCCUUGGACGCGUUAGAUUGCCUAAUAUUCUGGCUCUCUUUCUCGCUCUCUCGAGCAUGAGCAACACACCGCGACUCGGGGAAAGAGCUGUGAGAGAAUUCAAAAGAGAGAGAGAGAGAGAGAGAGAGAGAGAGAGAGAGAGAGAACGAGAUAGAUGUAUGCGUUAAAAGUGUGAGAGGUGGAGGGAUGUUUAAAGAAGUAUUUUGAAAAUAUGAAUUUACAAAAAAUGCAUUUCGAAAGAGGAACGAAAUUUAAAAAGUAAUCCCGCGAGAUUAAGUCUCGUUCAGUCGAUUAAAAAAAACGCGUUCGUCAAAUCUCACUUUUUUCUUCGUGAACUUGCAUAACCAUACUUUCGUCUUCGUUUUUUUUUCUCCAGACAACUUUGUUCAAGCAACAGAAGCACCAAGAAAAUGUUGAAGCAGAGGACUAACGCUGAGAAUAAUAUCUCAACCGCACGAAUCAUUGAAUCACGAAAUAAUUAAUUUGCUAGCGUUACCCAAGUCGUGUUCGGCACGUCCCGGCAAGUUCCCCUUUGUGGGAGUGGUACAUAUACAAAGUCGUCAAGACUGUUGGCUCAGAGCUGGCUCAUUGUAUGCUUGCGGAAAUGUCCUGCGGUUUCUAUAUAUACCCGUUUUUCCUUUCUCGGUCUCUCGCAAUCUUUCUGCUUUCUCUGUCCGACAAUUUUUUUUUCUCUUCUGCAUUUUUGAUUCCCCCGCCUGCGUGUGUAUACGGGAAUCUUUCACGGCGUAGACUACUCGCAGACGAUACCCAUUAAUUUUGAUGAUCCCGACUGUGGGUUCAUUGCCGGAAUGCUUAAUUACUGCAAGAUUCCCGCAGAAAUCCUCUGGAUCGUCUGUUCGCGCGUAUUAUGAUUUUGAUCGAAAAGGUAGAAAUUAUUCAUCGUUUAUGGUCGCCUUGUCGAUCCCAAUUUUCAGAGGAAUCGGAUAUUUAAUGUAUAUACCGUACAAAAAUUGGCUUCUAAAAAUAAUAAAUCAAUUCCAGCCGUAAACAUCGAAUAAUGAAAAUUUAUCACAGGCUCAGCGACAGUCCCGCGAUCGAUCGAAAAAUUUGCACAAUAUCCUUUUAAAGCGGCGCACACACCCGAUCCACACAGCUCACUCGCUCUCUCUGUAACACGUAUAUACUCCCCGCGAGAGAGCGAGUCUCGCUCACGAUUUCAUACGGAAAACGAUGCCUGUAAACAAGGCAGCGGCAUGGUAUUGCAUAAUUUAUCGAAAAGCCGGAGAGUCAAUUUCACAUUGCGCCCGUGAGCCCGCUCCUCUCGUUUUCGCAAAGCUCUAACCCUCCCGCGGACGUGCCGAUCGAAUCGUUCCGCGGAUGGAUAACAGAUAAAGAGCCGAGAGUCGAGUGGAUGAAAAAAGGAGCAAUUUAACGAGUGAGACACACCGGAGCUAGAAGAGGAGCUGAUCGCAAAUCACUCGGUGGUGCCGCGAGAUCGGAUCUCGCUGUACCGAUCUCUCGCGCGAUUUCCAAAUUCAAACGCUGCGCCGGCGAGAGUAAAGAGGCCUUGUGGAGCGAGAAAUAAGAAUGGAAGGCUCGGGAGGUUUCUCGAAACAGAUUUAGUAGUUUUCGAGGGUGGGAAAACGCAGUGUGUAACAGUUUAAUAAGGUAUAAACUCGCGAUGGUAUCGGUUUGAGGUACAAGGGCUUAAUUAGCGAUUCCGCGGUGUGAACAAGAGAAUUCGAUUUUCGAACUAAAUCGUCUAUGUCGUCGUUGUAGAAGUCGCGCACAGAACGAGAAAAGUUCUCGGAGAUCGUUAUUACAUAAAUUAUAAGCGAGGUGCGGAGAGAACUUUUUAACGCUCUCUCAAAGAAAGCGAUCGCGCCCGAUUGCGCAAGCUUUCUUUCGAGAGGCUCGCUCAGGAUUCAAAUACUAUAGAUAAAUUUUACAUUUCGCUUGUCAUCAGUGUUUAGGGUUAAAAUUUGAAAUCAGCCAAUUAGAAUGAUUGCAUAAUGAAUUUUAUUUUAAAUUAUUUAGCAGCUUUUGGCAUUUCCAAAAAGAGUGCAUAUCAAUCGAUAACUUUCCAUUUAUGGUUCUGAAGCGUUUAUAUAUCUCUGUAUUUAUAUCUCUGUACGUUUAUAUAGCGUUGUAUAUAUCUAAAUAUUUUCGUUUCUGGUUAAAUAAAUAAAUAAAUAAAGCGAUUCACAAAAUUCAAAAGAAGUUUCACAAUUGGGUUGUAGUUUUAAAUUCUAUAAGUUAGCAGUUAUCUGAUACACGGAAAGAAUUUUACAAUAAAAAUUACAUAGAAAUUAAGGAUCAAAAUUACCGUGCUAGCACAGUAACGUAGGGACGCCCCACCAUCUAGAACACUUUUACUGCAUCGGCACAGUAACAUUUUCGGUACUUUUUUAUUUUUCUCCUUAGCCUCUAUAUUAUGAUACGCACAUGGCCGCGCAUGAAUUUCCUUUGCAGGUAAAAAUUUUCGGCAUCAAAAAAUGUUCAGUGCCGGUUCAGUAAAAUUUACGGGGAGCAAGAUAAAUAAUAUCUUGGGUCAGAUAAAAACUUUCGGGAAGACACGGCGGCCCACGAUUAUCGUGCUAUUCCGGUAAUUUUUACUGAAAAAUUCAUUCCGUGUAGCUUCUGAAUUAUAAAUUAAAAUGUCACCUAACCCGUCAAAAAUGACACCCCACUCACCCUAGUGACACCCCAUUCACUGUAAUGAUACCCCGUCCACCAUAGUGAUACCCCACCCAUCAUCUGGUUGGUACAAAUACGGCUGUUUGACAGAAAUGUAAUCAUUUAACAUUUGAGUUUUAUUGGAGCAUCACCAACAACAAAACCUUCAAAAUGACUUCCAAAACUAACACCCCAUCAACUUCGACAAACCCAGUCUCAGACUUGGCAAACAAUUUAAAUAAAAAAAUGCAUAUAAAAUCGCCAUCACCUACGCAAAAACGCAGAAAAAUAACAAUUAAAAGACGCUUAAAUCAAAUCUGCGAACAAUUAUCAAAAAUCAAGCUUUCGUCACCACCUUCGCAACAACAGAAAAUUAUCAACAAAGACGCAUUAGCCAUGUUUUGCCAAGCUACUACUGUCAAAAAAGGCUCAAAACGCGCACUUACACUACCCGAAACUCUUGCUCCUCCUUUCCGAAAUGUACGCCGAAAACUAAACUUUUAAUUUAAUAAAAUGAUAUAAAAUUUUUGCUUACAAAAUAUAGGAAAUAACCCUUUAGUAUUUUAUACACAUAAAUUUGAAAUGUAACCUAACAUUUACCCUGGUAGAAACAUAAGCUUACGAAUCCGGUAGCUUAAUAACGAUAAGCUUAUAUUGUUAAUAAAAAUAAGCUUACAUAUUAACUGAUUAGAAGCUUACAUUCAGUUAACUAUACUAACAACCAACAGCUAUAAUGCGAUCAUAACCUCUUUCUAUUUUAAAUGGUAUUACCAAUAUUAAAGUUUUACCAAUGAUUUAUCUCUCAUAUCUUUCGUAAGUUCAUUACUUGUGUCCCCUUGUGUGUACAAACUACAACAAAUAUAAUCGAAAUAAGUUUAUAUGAGUAAGAGCAACGAAUAUCGUAACCUUAUGUGUGUGUGUGUGUGAGAGAGAGAGAGAGAGAGAGACACCUAUAUGAAUUACU